GUACACAUAUUGAUACAUUUUGGAAAACUGACUUACUGCUGAAGUUCAUAAAAUGGGUGUGCGGCCCUCCUAAUGCUCGACAGACCUGCCCCAAGUGGCCUCUCUGUUCCUAGGAGUGCAACAUAG
ensembl:snoRNA small nucleolar RNA SNORA64/SNORA10 family